AUUGAACGCUGGCGGCAUGCCUUACACAUGCAAGUCGAACGGCAGCACGGGUGCUUGCACCUGGUGGCGAGUGGCGAACGGGUGAGUAAUAUAUCGGAACGUACCUUAUUGUGGGGGAUAACGCAGCGAAAGCUGUGCUAAUACCGCAUAAUCCCUAAGGGGGAAAGCGGGGGACCGUAAGGCCUCGCGCAAUUAGAGCGGCCGAUACCUGAUUAGCUAGUUGGUGAGGUAAAGGCUCACCAAGGCAACGAUCAGUAGCUGGUCUGAGAGGACGGUAAGCCACACUGGGACUGAGACACGGCCCAGACUCCUACGGGAGGCAGCAGUGGGGAAUUUUGGACAAUGGGGGCAACCCUGAUCCAGCAAUGCCGCGUGAGUGAAGAAGGCCUUCGGGUUGUAAAGCACUUUUGUCAGGGAAGAAACAGCAGCUCUAACACAGUAUGCGAAUGACGGUACCUGAAGAAUAAGCACCGGCUAACUACGUGCCAGCCGCCGCGGUAA
rnacentral:rRNA from 1 species